GCAUUAAUGGGGUAGUGGUAACCUGGGUCGUUGCCAUGCGAGCUAACUUGACUCGACCCGCCGGGGGUUCGAUUCCCUCUUAAUGCA
rnacentral:tRNA from 2 species